UGCAAGUCGAACGAACUCUGGUAUUGAUUGGUGCUUGCAUCAUGAUUUACAUUUGAGUGAGUGGCGAACUGGUGAGUAACACGUGGGAAACCUGCCCAGAAGCGGGGGAUAACACCUGGAAACAGAUGCUAAUACCGCAUAACAACUUGGACCGCAUGGUCCGAGUUUGAAAGAUGGCUUCGGCUAUCACUUUUGGAUGGUCCCGCGGCGUAUUAGCUAGAUGGUGAGGUAACGGCUCACCAUGGCAAUGAUACGUAGCCGACCUGAGAGGGUAAUCGGCCACAUUGGGACUGAGACACGGCCCAAACUCCUACGGGAGGCAGCAGUAGGGAAUCUUCCACAAUGGACGAAAGUCUGAUGGAGCAACGCCGCGUGAGUGAAGAAGGGUUUCGGCUCGUAAAACUCUGUUGUUAAAGAAGAACAUAUCUGAGAGUAACUGUUCAGGUAUUGACGGUAUUUAACCAGAAAGCCACGGCUAACUACGUGCCAGCAGCCGCGGUAAUACGUAGGUGGCAAGCGUUGUCCGGAUUUAUUGGGCGUAAAGCGAGCGCAGGCGGUUUUUUAAGUCUGAUGUGAAAGCCUUCGGCUCAACCGAAGAAGUGCAUCGGAAACUGGGAAACUUGAGUGCAGAAGAGGACAGUGGAACUCCAUGUGUAGCGGUGAAAUGCGUAGAUAUAUGGAAGAACACCAGUGGCGAAGGCGGCUGUCUGGUCUGUAACUGACGCUGAGGCUCGAAAGUAUGGGUAGCAAACAGGAUUAGAUACCCUGGUAGUCCAUACCGUAAACGAUGAAUGCUAAGUGUUGGAGGGUUUCCGCCCUUCAGUGCUGCAGCUAACGCAUUAAGCAUUCCGCCUGGGGGAGUACGGCCGCAAGGCUGAAACUC
rnacentral:rRNA from 2 species